rnacentral:rRNA from 1 species
UACGUAGGGUGCAAGCGUUGUCCGGAUUUAUUGGGCGUAAAGAGCUCGUAGGCGGUUUGUUACGUCGGAUGUGAAAUCCUGGAGCUUAACUCCGGGCCUGCAUUCGAUACGGGCAGACUCGAGUGUUGUAGGGGAGACUGGAACUCCUGGUGUAGCGGUGAAAUGCGCAGAUAUCAGGAAGAACACCGGUGGCGAAGGCGGCUCUCUGGACGGUGACUGACGCUGAGACGCGAAAGCGUGGGGAGCAAACAGG